rnacentral:tRNA from 1 species
GUGUAGCUAGUUGGUAUAGUGCUUGUCUCGAAUGCAGUAAGUCCUGGGUUUCAAUCCCAGCAC